rnacentral:rRNA from 1 species
AUUGAACGCUGGCGGCAGGCCUAACACAUGCAAGUCGAGCGAGCGGCGGACGGGUGAGUAAUGCCUGGGAAUUGCCCAGUCGAGGGGGAUAAAAGUUGGAAACGACUGCUAAUACCGCAUACGAUUGGAUUGCCCAGGUGGGAUUAGCUAGUGGGUGAGGUAAUGGCUCACCAAGGCGACGAUCCCUAGCUGGUCUGAGGGGAUGAUCAGCCACACUGGAAGUGAGACACGUUCCAUACUCCGACGGGAGGCAGCAGUGGGGAAUAUUGCACGAUGGGGGAAACCCUGAUGCAGCCAUGCGGCGUGUGUGAAGAAGGCCUGCGUGUGGUAAAGUACUUUCAGCGAGGAGGCGUUACUCGCAGAAGAGGCACCGGCUAACUCCGUGCCAGCAGCCGCGGUAAUUC